CUCGCCGUCCUGGACACGGCGGAGUGCGGAGCCGCCCGUAAGGCCAGGUGGAAGGGUUUAUUAGUCCCUGCCAGCAGCUGUCCUCCCUGGUGCAGGUGGCCUGGCCAGCCCACUGGAUUGGGGACGGGCCAGGCUGGGCCAGGUCGGGGGCUCAGUCUGGGAGGUAAUAAAAGCAGACCGACACGCAGAUGUUGCUCGGGAAGCAG
rnacentral:lncRNA from 1 species